GUCAGUAUGGCUGAGCGGUCUAAGGCGGCAGACUCAAGUUCUGCUCCUCUCACGAGGGCGCAGGUUCAAAUCCCGUAUACUUGCA
rnacentral:tRNA from 1 species